UGUGGGAGCGGGCUUGCUCGCGAUGCAGGCGACGCGGACUGUCGCAUUGACCGCGUUGAUGCCAUCGCGAGCAGGCUCGCUCCCACA
rnacentral:misc_RNA from 1 species